rnacentral:rRNA from 1 species
GGNGGCGUGCCUAACACAUGCANGUCGAACGAGGUAGCAAUACCUAGUGGCAGACGGGUGAGUAACGCGUGGUCAACCUACCGUUGAGUGGGGGAUAACUAACCGAAAGGUUAGCUAAUACCGCAUACGUAUCCGGGGGGCAUCCCCUGGUUAUAAAAGGAGCAAUCCGCUCGAUGACGGGACCGCGUCCCAUUAGCUAGUUGGUGGGGUAACGGCCUACCAAGGCUCCGAUGGGUAGCUGGUUUGAGAGAGCGACCAGCCACACUGGGACUGAGAAACGGCCCAGACUCCUACGGGAGGCAGCAGUGAGGAAUUUUCCGCAAUGGGCGAAAGCCUGACGGAGCGACGCCGCGUGUGGGAAGAAGGCCUUCGGGUCGUAAACCACUGUCGAAGGGGACGAUAAUGACGGUACCCUUGGAGGAAGCCCCGGCUAACUACGUGCCAGCAGCCGCGGUAAGACGUAGGGGGCGAGCGUUAUUCGGAAUUAUUGGGCGUAAAGCGCUCGUAGGCGGGAUUGCAAGUCCGUGUUGAAAGACCUCGGCUCAACUGAANGGACCGGCUCGGAUACUGUGAUUC